UUGACUAUGAUCUUAUAAAAUUCUGGAUAAAGCUUAUUAUGAAAACUUUAUAUCCAUAGGUCUCGACCAAAUCUUGUGCCAGCAGUCGCGGUAAGACAAGGGAGACGAGUGUUAUUCAUCUUUAACAGGUAUAUAGGGUACCUAGACGGUGUACAAAGGCUUAAAUAAGUACCUGAUACACUUGAGUUUGAUAUGUGAGAGGAAUAUGUCAGAAUUAUUGGUGGAAAGAUGAAAUUUGCUAAUACUAAUAGGACUGAUAACGGCGAAGGCAAACCUCUAUGUACAUGUAUUUUGCUUUGUUGUGUUAUACAGACAAAAACAUAAAUACUAUAACUGACGUUGAGGGACGAAGGCUCAGAGAGUGAAGAGGAUUAGAUACCCCCGUAGCCUGGGCAGACAAUGAUGAGUGCCAUAGGUUGGCUUUAUGUCGAACUAUAAAUGAAAGUGGAAGCACUCCACCUCAAGAGUAAUGUG
rnacentral:rRNA from 1 species